UACGGAGGGGGUUAGCGUUGUUCGGAAUUACUGGGCGUAAAGCGCGCGUAGGCGGACCAGAAAGUUGGGGGUGAAAUCCCGGGGCUCAACCCCGGAACGGCCUCCAAAACUCCUGGUCUUGAGUUCGAGAGAGGAGAGUGGAAUUCCGAGUGUAGAGGUGAAAUUCGUAGAUAUUCGGAGGAACACCAGUAGCGAAGGCGGCUCACUGGCUCGAUACUGACGCUGAGGUGCGAAAGUGUGGGGAGCAAACAGG
rnacentral:rRNA from 1 species